rnacentral:rRNA from 1 species
UUGACCUCGGAUCAGGUAGGGAUACCCGCUGAACUUAAGCAUAUCAAUAAGCGGAGGAAAAGAAACCAACCGGGAUUGCCCCAGUAACGGCGAGUGAAGCGGCAAGAGCUCAAAUUUGAAAUCUGGCCCCUCUGGGGUCCGAGUUGUAAUUUGCAGAGGAUGCUUCGGGUGCGGCCCCCGUCUAAGUGCCCUGGAACGGGCCGUCAGAGAGGGUGAGAAUCCCGUCUUGGGCGGGGUGUCCGUGCCCGUGUGAAGCUCCUUCGACGAGUCGAGUUGUUUGGGAAUGCAGCUCUAAAUGGGUGGUAAAUUUCAUCUAAAGCUAAAUACCGGCCGGAGACCGAUAGCGCACAAGUAGAGUGAUCGAAAGAUGAAAAGCACUUUGAAAAGAGAGUUAAACAGCACGUGAAAUUGUUGAAAGGGAAGCGCUUGCGACCAGACUCGCCCACGGGGUUCAGCCGGCACUCGUGCCGGUGUACUUCCCCGCGGGCGGGCCAGCGUCGGUUUGGGCGGCCGGUCAAAGGCCCCGGGAAUGUGUCGCCCUCCGGGGCGUCUUAUAGCCCGGGGUGCAAUGCGGCCAGCCCAGACCGAGGAACGCGCUUCGGCACGGACGCUGGCGUAAUGGUCGCAAACGACC